rnacentral:rRNA from 1 species
GCACAAGCGGUGGAGUAUGUGGUUUAAUCGAUGCAACGCGAAGAACCUUACCUGGUCUUGACAUCCCGGAGACCCUUAGGAAACUAGGGGGUGCUUCCAUCUGGAAGAAUCUGGAGACAGGUGCUGCAUGGCUGUCGUCAGCUCGUGUCGUGAGAUGUUGGGUUAAGUCCCGCAACGAGCGCAACCCUUGCCUUUAGUUGCCAGCAGUUCGGCUGGGCACUCUAAAGGGACUGCCGGUGUUAAACCGGAGGAAGGUGGGGAUGACGUCAAGUCCUCAUGGCCUUUAUGACCAGGGCUACACACGUACUACAAUGGCCGAUACAAAGGGCAGCGACACUGCGAGGUGAAGCCAAUCCCGUAAAAUCGGUCUCAGUCCGGAUUGGAGUCUGCAGCUCGACUCCAUGAAGUUGGAAUCGCUAGUAAUCGUGGAUCAGCAUGCCACGGUGAAUACGUUCCCGGGCCUU